ensembl:lncRNA
GACCCAUGUGUAUUAAAAAGACAAAGCUGCUGUCAAUGAUGUGCUGUUAGAAGUUAUGGUCCUUGUCGCAUCCUAUUAGACCAAACCAGCGAUACAAAUAAACCAAAAUAUGCUUGAGCGCAAUUUCUGCGCAGGAAAUAGCAAAAAUGCCAAAAUAACUCAUUAAUGUAUGUAUUUUGGUUCCUCUGUCCUCUCCGAGAGGACUCCCGAACUAACCCACGGUUCAGUGUUCCGUGGUGCCUCCCUCGACCUGACUGAAGCGAACGCUCCAAUUUUCGUAAAAAAAAUGUGCAGCAGUUGUGGACUCUUCCAACAAUGUUUGCCUCGUUCCGGGGGGUGGGUACGUAGUUGAGCAGUGUUGGAAGGGCCGUCUGCAUGCAUGUAAACAAAGCAGACUACUGGAGUGGAUUAAGUUUUUUGCAGUCGGCAUAUUUUAUACUUUUUGUUCAGUCCCGGACACUUUCUGUCUAUUAUCAGCCUCAUCUACAUCUAUCAGGAAAAUAGUUUGUUGCCUGGCCUAUGGCGUGCUGAAAGUGUCGAAUUAUGCACUCGGGCCUUGGACUAGAGUAAAGUUCUUAGCGGACUCUACAACUUCUGAAUCCUCGCUGACGGCGCCUGUCACACGGCACUGGGCCCUCGCGGCCUUGCCUUGUGGAUGAGGAAGUGAAGUGAUACAACCCACCCAGGAGAAAGGAACCCAUUUUAUGGGCGAAUCCUCUUUCUUGGACUCCUGGGUGAAACGAAGAUUUGUUAUGAUGGGUAUGUUUAUACAGCUUUUGUGCAUGCCUCUCAAUUUGUUUCUGUCUGUCUGCCUGUCUGCCUGUCUGUCUGUCUGUCUGUCUGUCUGUGUGUCUGUCUGCCUGUCUGUCUGUCUGUGUGGUUAUGCCAUAUAAUAUGAGAGUUGAAGAAGGGCAUAGCCUGCCCCACCUCCAAAGCCAUGCUUCUCACUGAAGGGACAACAUAUCACACACACACUCUGUCUUCUUUCACACACACUCUCACACACACACACACACUCACUCACACACACACUCUGUCACUCUGUGACAACAUGCCCCACCUCCAAACCCAUGCUUCUCACUGAAGGGACAACAUGCCCCACACACACUCUGUCUUCUUUCACACACACUCUCACACACACACUCUCUCACACACACACUCUGUCACUCUGUGACAACAUGCCCCACCUCCAAACCCAUGCUUCUCACUGAAGGGACAACACUGAGGCUGCUGAUGUUCUGUGUAGGCACUCUUGAUAUCAACAAGUGCAAACUGCAAAUGGAGAUCACAGUGCUGUGUGUCAAUCAAAGAACAGGGCUGUGUAAUUCAGUUAACACAUAUGAUUUAAGUCAUUUGUUAUUUUACCAUGUGCUGUGUUGGUGCCAUACUUUGUAAUAAUGAUGAGGUUUAAAAAAGGUGGUUAAUGAAAGGAUUAUCUUUUUGAACCUAGAGAAACUAUUGUUACCUGUUGUGGCUUUUGAACAGCACUGCUGGUUGGAGGAAAAAGCUUUCCCAUUUGUAUCGUUAAGAAUAUGCCUAAUCCCCGCUGAGCCUGAAGUGUAGGGUCAAGGUCGAGGUCAAGGUCAAGGUCAAGGUCAAGGACUCCUGUAGCUGAUGCUGAAGUUGAGACAACCAGCCUAUUGUGCAAUGAAAAUUGUACUUGCAGACAUUUCAGUAACGUCAGUGUGAAUUCAAUAGUCAUGCAAAACCAAGUAGGCUUGUUAGUAGUACCGUAGUUGAUUGAGCUGUUUAGCCGAUUUCCCUCUGCUUCACACACUGAUCCAGAGAGUCUGCAAGUCUGACAGUGCACAUGCUUUUGACAGUUAAUACAAAUAAAUCAUUUUGUCAGGUAGCUUUUAUUUAAAUAGCGAUUGAAGCCAAGGAUAAGGCAGACCUGCCAAUUCAUGAAAAAUUGCAUGAAUGUACUUUAUCGUAAAAUGAUGAGUUAACCCCUGAUUAUUUCAGUUUACAGUAAUUCAUUUUAGACCCAUGGCGGUCAGCCUCAGGCCCUUUAUAUAGAGUUCCUACCCUGCGUCAUUAAUGGCUUACGUGAGGGCGGUUUGACUGCCUCAUUGAUUUUAUUUGACACACGAAACACACUUUGUGACCGGAUGAAAUCCAGUCCCUCUCACUAGACUCUAAUGGCAUCCUCAUUAGCAGUCGCAUCAGGGUGAGGUUCUUUUUCUUCAGGUAAAUUUGAGCUGUGAGAGUAUGACUGCAGCUGCUGCACUGUGAGAGUAUGACUGGUCACAGGUCACAGGAGAGGUCACAGGAGACUGCAUCACUGUGACAUCACUGUGAGAGUAUGACUGCAUCACUGUGAGAGUAUGACAUCACUGUGAGAGUAUGACUGCAUCACUGAGAGAGUAUGACUGACAUGUAAAUAGCCUCUCAUAGUACAGUACAGCGACCGCAGACCAGUAAGGCGGUAACGUGACCAGUUGACACCGCAGACCAGUAAGGCGGUAACGUGACCAGUUCACACUGCAGACCAGUAAGGCUGUAACAUGACCAGUUCACACUGUGAAAUUGAAGCCCAUGUAACCCAAUCUACAGCUAACCUUAGUUAAAGUAACACUAUGCAACAAUUUGACACUUUUUGAGGUAUGGUUUUAUAGGCAACCAGCUUUGGUACCAUCCUCAAAUUCAUUUUGAUAGCAUAUGUUCAUGUGAAGGACAGAUAAACACCUGUGUCUUCCCCACUAGCCAUCCAGGAUAUGCAUUAUGCAGUUCUGUGUAACGGGCUGGUACACCCUGCAAAAAUGGAAGAAAAGCUUUCACACGCAUGACAUUGCCUGCUAUACUGCCAAAAGACACCAAUUAGUGUGUUGGCAAGCUUCUAUCAGUGUCAGCUGGGCUGUUGGUGGUGUUUGCAAGGUUUCUGAACGCCUUUUAGGUAGUUAGCUUACUAGUUUUGGAACAGAACUCCAUAUUGCUGCUUUAAGGUUAGUUUGGUUUAUUCUAC